AUGAACGCUGGCGGCGUGCCUAAUACAUGCAAGUCGAGCGAACGGACGAGAAGCUUGCUUCUCUGAUGUUAGCGGCGGACGGGUGAGUAACACGUGGAUAACCUACCUAUAAGACUGGGAUAACUUCGGGAAACCGGGGCUAAUACCGGAUAAUAUUUUGAACCGCAUGGUUCAAAAGUGAAAGACGGUCUUGCUGUCACUUAUAGAUGGAUCCGCGCUGCAUUAGCUAGUUGGUAAGGUAACGGCUUACCAAGGCAACGAUGCAUAGCCGACCUGAGAGGGUGAUCGGCCACACUGGAACUGAGACACGGUCCAGACUCCUACGGGAGGCAGCAGUAGGGAAUCUUCCGCAAAGGGCGAAAGCCUGACGGAGCAACGCCGCGUGAGUGAUGAAGGUCUUCGGAUCGUAAAACUCUGUUAUUAGGGAAGAACAUAUGUGUAAGUAACUGUGCACAUCUUGACGGUACCUAAUCAGAAAGCCACGGCUAACUACGUG
rnacentral:rRNA from 1 species